CAGUAGAAGUUGCGGCGGCGGCGGGAGAGAGGCGGCGGGGGCGGCCGGGGUGUCCGAGCCCCGGGCCCGCAGCGCUGCCCGCCCGGCGGCCGCCCCGGGCCUGUCGGGGGAACCGGGGCGCAGCGAAGCGGCGGCGGAGCCCGCGGAGGAAACUAAAUAAAUAAAAUCAGACUGUUAUUUAAGGCGCGUAAAUUUAAAAUUAUUUGGACAGGAAGAGCAAGGGGAGCGGAGCCGCAGGAGCCAAAGUAACGGUUUCGGAGCCGGGCGCGGCCCCCCCGCCCCGCGGCCCCGCGCCCCGGCGCUCCCCGGGGGCCGCCCGACCUGCCCGCAGCCCGGCCGGCGCGACCCUCCCUCCUCCCCGGGGACCCCGCAGAGCCCUCCGGGAGCACCGACAUUUUGAGUGCCUGUGUGGUGGGGCAGGCUGUGCUGAGAGCCGGAUCCCUUUAGGAUCUGUCCCUUUCCAAAAGGAGCUCAGCAGCCCCCGCCGUUGUUCCGAGGAUAAUUUAGAAACAAAGGUCAAGUGCAACAGCUUUGCUCAUCCGUGUAACUGAAAUAGGGGAGAGGGCUGUUGCCCCACAGUUGUGUCCUCACACAGCCUGGUCACUGUGAAUCCUGGUACAGCUAUGUUUUAUGCUCUAUUUCUUCACGUUUUUCUGUGCUUGCUGUAUUUGUUUCUAUUUAUACCUCUCAUCUCGAUACUGCACUGUUUGCUGCCGAUUCCUGGGCUGCUGCAGGGCGAUCUCCGCUCCUGCCUGCAGACUUAACUUGGCAGUUGGUUUGUGUCUCAAUAAAACCCCUCAAAAAUCCUCAAUUCAAUCUCACACGCUGCAGUUGUGCAUCUCUGGAUAAAUACGUUUGUCGACAUUUUCAGGAAUAUGCGAAUUUUUGAAACUGGACUUUUUGAUGUUGCCAGAAUAGUGGGGGGAAAGCGCCAAAGCAAUUUCUGAAACCACAUGGGAUAUUACAAUCCUUUUUAGGUGUCAAGAUUCCCUAUUAAUGAGACUCGCAUUAUAUUAUUUUCUCCUCGCUCAGUGAUUAUAAAGACUUCUGGAGGAAAGGCAUUCCCCAGCAGCCGGGCACCUUUUGUCACUGGCAAACCCUGUGAGGUGCGGGUAACACCAGCUGACUGAUUUCUUUGGUUUCCUAGAGGCUCUUUGCAGUAACUAUUAACUUCCUGGGAUAAUAGAGAGCAAUUUUUUGCUUUCCAAGUACCUAACUAGGAAUUUCAAUUGAUCAUCUUGUUGAGGGGCUCACAGAGAAAACGCAGCAGUGAAAUCAGAUAAAACACACCUUUAAACCAGACUAUCAGCCGUGACUCAGCCGCCGACGCUUUGGGCAUGGCCGGGGGCUGAUCCGUCCUGGCUUUAACCCUGAACUCCUGGCACGCAAUAAAAGCCGCUAUUUCUGACUAGGCGGGGCAUUUUUCUCGGAAGCGAAGUUGUUCUUAUUAAGCCACUGCUUAAACUUCGCCUUAGCGUAAAUUAAAUGCUGAUGAAGCUCCGAACGGGUUUGAAAUUAGGUUUUUUAGUAGCACGGGUGAAAAAAAACAAUUAACAAACGUGAGAAAGCUGGAUGUUACCUUCUGGUGUAGCACGGAAUUCCUCUAUGUGAGAGGAAUGGAGAAGGAAAAGGCUUGGAGCAUCCUCCAGGACACGAGGAAAGGAAGAUGGAGAGCAGCACAGAGCGAUUUGGGUCACUUCAUCUGGGGGACCUGUGGAUUAUGUUGCUCGGUUGAAUAUUUCAGGUGGUUUAGUGCUCUUUCUACUGGGAAUUUUGGGGUUAUUUCUCUAAAAAUGCUUCUUAUGUGCUGUGCUGCUCUGAUUAAUGAUCAUGGCACAAUUUUUCAUAUUUCACAGAGGUUUUUAAUCAGAACACAGCAGCGUGACAGAGCUUAUAGUAAAUGUGACAGACAGUUUCAGCAAAUUUCUUUUUACUUGAAAAUGUAGUAACUGAUUUUGGGGGGCUAAUUAAAAAAAAAAAAAGUUAAAAACUAAGACUAUUCC